rnacentral:sRNA from 1 species
UUUCAGAUCAUUUGGUUAUUGGAUUAUAUGAAGUGAAAAAAACUUCUUUGAUACAUUGUACUUGGUAAAAGUCUAAAAUGUUAUCAGAUGGUGUUCAAAGUUUGUGUAUUUUUUUCUGUCUCACUUUCUCUAUUUCCCUCUCUCUUUUUCUUUUUUAACAGUUGGAUCCACUUGAACAAGCAAAAGUGGAUUUGGUUUCUGCAUACACAUUAAAUUCAAUGUUUUGGGUUUAUUUGGCAACCCAAGGAGUUAAUCCUAAGGAACAUCCAGUAAAACAGGAAUUGGAAAGAAUCAGAGUAUAUAUGAACAGAGUCAAGGAAAUAAC